AUGAUGAUUCCCUUCUCUCCUCUCUCCUCUCCUCCUCGCACAGCCCCAUCCCACGGCCCCACAGAUCCCCCUGUGCCGAGCUCCCCAUCCGCCGCCCGUCCCCGCACGCAUGGAGCUGCCGAAGGGCUCGGGGAGGGAUGGGGGGGAUUUCCACCCCACCUGCAGCUGCACGUCCCGGUGAGCGUUCCCCCCCCCCAGCACCCACCGCUGGGCACGGUGCCUCACCCGUCCGCGCGUCCCGCUGUGUCCGUCUGUCCCGCUGUGUCCGCCUGUCCUGCAGUCGGCCGCGGAGCCGUGGGAGCAGUGCCGCCCGCUCGCCCUCACCUCGCGCCCAUCCCGCGGGGCCCGAGGGCUUUAAGGAGGCUCCCGCCCCUCCCUGACGUCCCAGGGCGUUCCCGGCUCACCUGGAAGCGGCCCCGAUUGCGACACGCAGCAGUGGGGCCCCUGAGCCCACCCCACGGGGACACCCCGGGGUCCCCGUCCCUCCCCCGGACCGAGGUGGGGAGAGCCGCUCGCCCUAAGGUCCUGCGGAAAAUCUCCCCAAGCGUUUCGGGAUCUCCGCCGUUGGGGCUCUGCUUAGCGGCAAAGAAGGAACAGAAACCGCGUGCGGAGCUCGCAGCUGGAAUUAGGGAACCAGAAGUGCUCGCCAAGAGGGUGCAGGGGUUGGACGGCGCUGUCCUCGUGCGGAGUUCCCCCACUGCGAGAGACGCUGACACAACGGCCGACGUGGCCGCAAUGGGGGCAUGGCCCAACCCAACAGAGGAAGGGUCUGUGCUGCCCUUCCCCUUCCACAUCUGCACGAAUGCUGAAUCCCACCUACUCCCACCCCACGUGCGGGUACGUGUGCAGAAUACCCCCCUUUGUGCGACAAAUAGAACAGACCACGACUCCACGGUCGGGUGUGCACCCCCCGGCCUGGUGUCACCAGCAUGGAGCCUCCACCGGCACCAAGGGGCAGUGAUUCUGACUUUCCUCCCCCCACCCCCUCCAUCCUCUCUUUUCCUCUGCCCCUCAUUUUUCCUCUUUUUCUCUCUCUUCCAGUCCCACCGGCACGCAACCCACGGCACAUGGCUGCUGUGUAUCGCCAGUGGGGUGCAGGCGGGUGAGCACGCGGCGUUGUGCGCCGAGUGUGGCAGUGGGAUGCAAGCACCCAUAGAACCCAUGGGUUGGGGUCAUUUCACCUCCAUUCAGCCCAAGGGAUUUUGGGAACAUCAGCAACCCCAGUAG
rnacentral:lncRNA from 1 species